rnacentral:rRNA from 1 species
GACGAACGCUGGCGGCGUGCUUAACACAUGCAAGUCGAACGGACAGGCCCUGCUUUUGUGGGGUGCUCGAGUGGCGAACGGGUGAGUAACACGUGAGUAACCUGUCCUUGACUUUGGGAUAACUUCAGGAAACUGGGGCUAAUACCGGAUAGGAGCUCCUGCUGCAUGGUGGGGGUUGGAAAGUUUCGGCGGUUGGGGAUGGACUCGCGGCUUAUCAGCUUGAUGGUGGGGUAGUGGCUUACCAAGGCUUUGACGGGUAGCCGGCCUGAGAGGGUGACCGGCCACAUUGGGACUGAGAUACGGCCCAGAAUCCUACGGGAGGCAGCAGUGGGGAAUAUUGCGCAGUAGGCGGGAGCCUGAUGCAGCGACGCCGCGUGCGGAAUGACGGGCUACGGGUGAUAAACCGCUUUCGCCUGAGACGAAGCGUGAGUGACGGUAAUGGGUAAAGAAGCACCGGCUAACUACGUG